AACGAACGCUGGCGGCAGGCUUAACACAUGCAAGUCGAACGCAUCGCAAGAUGAGUGGCAGACGGGUGAGUAGCGCGUGGGAACAUACCCUUUUCUACGGAAUAGCUCUGGGAAACUGGAAUUAAUACCGUAUACGCCCUACGGGGGAAAGAUUUAUCGGGGAAGGAUUGGCCCGCGUUGGAUCAGCUAGUUGGUGGGGUAAAGGCCUACCAAGGCGACGAUCCAUAGCUGGUAUGAGAGGAUGAUCAGCCACAUUGGGACUGAGACACGGCCCAAACUCCUACGGGAGGCAGCAGUGGGGAAUAUUGGACAAUGGGCGCAAGCCUGAUCCAGCCAUGCCGCGUGAGUGAUGAAGGCCUUAGGGUUGUAAAGCUCUUUCACCGAUGAAGAUAAUGACGGUAGUCGGAGAAGAAGCCCCGGCUAACUUCGUGCCAGCCGCCGCGGUAA
rnacentral:rRNA from 1 species